rnacentral:rRNA from 1 species
UUAAGCGACUAAGCGUACACGGUGGAUGCCCUGGCAGUCAGAGGCGAUGAAGGACGUGCUAAUCUGCGAAAAGCGUCGGUAAGGUGAUAUGAACCGUUAUAACCGGCGAUGUCCGAAUGGGGAAACCCAGUGCAAUUCGUUGCACUAUCGUUAACUGAAUACAUAGGUUAACGAGGCGAACCGGGGGAACUGAAACAUCUAAGUACCCCGAGGAAAAGAAAUCAACCGAGAUUCCCCCAGUAGCGGCGAGCGAACGGGGAGCAGCCCAGAGUCUGAAUCAGUGUGUUAGUGGAACGGUCUGGAAAGUCCGACGGUACAGGGUGAUAGUCCCGUACACCAAAAUGCACAGGCUGUGAACUCGAAGAGUAGGGCGGGACACGUGGUAUCCUGUCUGAAUAUGGGGGACCAUCCUCCAAGGCUAAAUACUCUGACUGACCGAUAGUGAACCAGUACCGUGAGGGAAAGGCGAAAAGAACCCCGGCGAGGGAGUGAAAAGAACCUGAAACCGUGUACGUACAAGCAGUGGGAGCACCUUCGGGUGUGACUGCGUACCUUUUGUAUAAUGGGUCAGCGACUUAUAUUCUGUAGCAAGGUUAACCGUAUAGGGGAGCCGCAGGGAAACCGAGUCUUAACUGGGCGUUAAGUUGCAGGGUAUAGACCCGAAACCCGGUGAUCUAGCCAUGGGCAGGUUGAAGGUUGGGUAACACUAACUGGAGGACCGAACCGACUAAUGUUGAAAAAUUAGCGGAUGACUUGUGGCUGGGGGUGAAAGGCCAAUCAAACCGGGAGAUAGCUGGUUCUCCCCGAAAGCUAUUUAGGUAGCGCCUCGUGAACUCAUCUUCGGGGGUAGAGCACUGUUUCGGCUAGGGGGUCAUCCCGACUUACCAACCCGAUGCAAACUACGAAUACCGAAGAAUGUUAUCACGGGAGACACACGGCGGGUGCUAACGUCCGUCGUGAGGGAAACAACCCAGACCGCCAGCUAAGGUCCCAAAGUCAUGGUUAAGUGGGAAACGAUGUGGGAAGGCACAGACAGCCAGGAUGUUGGCUUAGAAGCAGCCAUCAUUUAAAGAAAGCGUAAUAGCUCACUGGUCGAGUCGGCCUGCGCGGAAGAUGUAACGGGGCUAAACCAUGCACCGAAGCUGCGGCAGCGACACUAUGUGUUGUUGGGUAGGGAGCGUUCUGUAAGCCUGCGAAGGUGUGCUGUGAGGCAUGCUGGAGGUAUCAGAAGUGCGAAUGCUGACAUAAGUAACGAUAAAGCGGGUGAAAAGCCCGCUCGCCGGAAGACCAAGGGUUCCUGUCCAACGUUAAUCGGGGCAGGGUGAGUCGACCCCUAAGGCGAGGCCGAAAGGCGUAGUCGAUGGGAAACAGGUUAAUAUUCCUGUACUUGGUGUUACUGCGAAGGGGGGACGGAGAAGGCUAUGUUAGCCGGGCGACGGUUGUCCCGGUUUAAGCAUGUAGGCUGAUUGUCCAGGCAAAUCCGGAUAAUCAAGGCUGAGGUGUGAUGACGAGGCACUACGGUGCUGAAGUAACAAAUGCCCUGCUUCCAGGAAAAGCCUCUAAGCAUCAGGUAACAUCAAAUCGUACCCCAAACCGACACAGGUGGUCAGGUAGAGAAUACCAAGGCGCUUGAGAGAACUCGGGUGAAGGAACUAGGCAAAAUGGUGCCGUAACUUCGGGAGAAGGCACGCUGGUGUGUAGGUGAAGUCCCUGCGGAUGGAGCUGAGACCAGUCGAAGAUACCAGCUGGCUGCAACUGUUUAUUAAAAACACAGCACUGUGCAAACACGAAAGUGGACGUAUACGGUGUGACGCCUGCCCGGUGCCGGAAGGUUAAUUGAUGGGGUUAUCCGUAAGGAGAAGCUCUUGAUCGAAGCCCGGUAAACGGCGGCCGUAACUAUAACGGUCCUAAGGUAGCGAAAUUCCUUGUCGGGUAAGUUCCGACCUGCACGAAUGGCGUAAUGAUGGCCAGGCUGUCUCCACCCGAGACUCAGUGAAAUUGAACUCGCUGUGAAGAUGCAGUGUACCCGCGGCAAGACGGAAAGACCCCGUGAACCUUUACUAUAGCUUGACACUGAACAUUGAGCCUUGAUGUGUAGGAUAGGUGGGAGGCUUUGAAGCGUGGACGCCAGUCUGCGUGGAGCCAACCUUGAAAUACCACCCUUUAAUGUUUGAUGUUCUAACGUUGGCCCCUGACCGGGGUUGCGGACAGUGUCUGGUGGGUAGUUUGACUGGGGCGGUCUCCUCCCAAAGCGUAACGGAGGAGCACGAAGGUUAGCUAAUCUGGUCGGACAUCAGGAGGUUAGUGCAAUGGCAUAAGCUAGCUUGACUGCGAGCGUGACGGCGCGAGCAGGUGCGAAAGCAGGUCAUAGUGAUCCGGUGGUUCUGAAUGGAAGGGCCAUCGCUCAACGGAUAAAAGGUACUCCGGGGAUAACAGGCUGAUACCGCCCAAGAGUUCAUAUCGACGGCGGUGUUUGGCACCUCGAUGUCGGCUCAUCACAUCCUGGGGCUGAAGUAGGUCCCAAGGGUAUGGCUGUUCGCCAUUUAAAGUGGUACGCGAGCUGGGUUUAGAACGUCGUGAGACAGUUCGGUCCCUAUCUGCCGUGGGCGCUGGAGAAUUGAGGGGGGCUGCUCCUAGUACGAGAGGACCGGAGUGGACGCAUCACUGGUGUUCGGGUUGUCAUGCCAAUGGCACUGCCCGGUAGCUAAAUGCGGAAGAGAUAAGUGCUGAAAGCAUCUAAGCACGAAACUUGCCCCGAGAUGAGUUCUCCCUGAGACUUUAAGUCUCCUGAAGGAACGUUAAAGACGAUGACGUUGAUAGGCCGGGUGUGUAAGCGCAGCGAUGCGUUGAGCUAACCGGUACUAAUGAACCGUGAGGCUUAACCU